AUGGUCACUUCAGCAGCUCAUAUACUACAAUUGGAACAGUGUAGAGAUUAGCAUGGCCCCUGUGUAAGGAUGACAUGUAAAUGUGUGUAGCAGUCCAUAUGUUU
rnacentral:snRNA from 1 species